CCUCCAAAGACUUUGAACAAGGUUUUGCACCGUCAAAAGAGCAUCUUUAUGCCCAAGCGGAGCAAGAGGAAGAGUCCAGUCCUAGACAGAUCUACUCGCUAAAUAAGUCCCUGUGAAUUCAGGCCAGCUUCCUCUCAAGAGCUUGAUGAGUAAUAGCUGAAUGUGUGAACUGACUCCAGAAGGAAGCUUGUGUUCCAUGCAGGACAGGGGCGCGCUGCCGUUUCUGUGCAUCCACCAGGACAAAAUCGUCCCCCGAUCUCCUAGCAACUUGCUCGUGUGAACCGGCCCCUAGAGCAACAGGAGGAGCAGGCGGGAAGAGAGGAUCGCUCUCGAUACGCGUGCGGCGAAGCGCGAUGGGGACCAGAGCUUCACACCCUGGCGCGAGCGAGCCCACAAGCUGAGUGAGGGC